rnacentral:rRNA from 1 species
GGUGGGUAAUACUGUAUAAUCCCUGCGGGGGAAAGAUUUAUCGCUACUAGAUGAGCCUAUGUCAGAUUAGCUAGUUGGUGGGGUAAUGGCCCACCAAGGCUGUGAUCUGUAGCUGGUCUGAGAGGAUGAUCAGCCACACUGGAACUGAGACACGGUCCAGACUCCUACGGGAGGCAGCAGUGGGGAAUAUUGGACAAUGGGCGCAAGCCUGAUCCAGCUAUGCCGCGUGAGUGAGGAAGGCCUUAGGGUUGUAAAACUCUUUCAGUAGGGAAGAUAAUGACGGUACCUACAGA